CCUACGGGAGGCAGCAGUGGGGGAUAUUGCACAAUGGGGGGAACCCUGAUGCAGCGACGCCGCGUGGGUGAAGAAGCGCCUCGGCGCGUAAAGCCCUGUCAGCAGGGAAGAAAAUGACGGUACCUGAAGAAGAAGCCCCGGCUAACUACGUGCCAGCAGCCGCGGUAAUACGUAGGGGGCAAGCGUUAUCCGGAUUUACUGGGUGUAAGGGGGGCGCAGACGGCGAUGCAAGCCAGGAGUGAAAGCCCGGGGCCCAACCCCGGGACUGCGCGUGGAACUGCGGGGCUGGAGUGCAGGAGGGGCAGGCGGAAGUCCUGGUGUAGCGGUGAAAUGCGUAGAUAUCAGGAGGAACACCGGUGGCGAAGGCGGCCUGCUGGACUGCAACUGACGUUGAGGCCCGAAAGCGUGGGGAGCAAACAGGAUUAGAGACCCUAGUAGUC
rnacentral:rRNA from 1 species